rnacentral:rRNA from 1 species
GAUGAACGCUGGCGGCGUGCCUAAUACAUGCAAGUCGAGCGAACAGACGAGGAGCUUGCUCCUUUGACGUUAGCGGCGGACGGGUGAGUAACACGUGGUUAACCUACCUAUAAGACUGGGAUAACUUCGGGAAACCGGAGCUAAUACCGGAUAAUAUUUCGAACCGCAUGGUUCGAUAGUGAAAGAUGGCUUUGCUAUCACUUAUAGAUGGACCUGCGCCGUAUUAGCUAGUUGGUAAGGUAACGGCUUACCAAGGCAACGAUACGUAGCCGACCUGAGAGGGUGAUCGGCCACACUGGAACUGAGACACGGUCCAGACUCCUACGGGAGGCAGCAGUAGGGAAUCUUCCGCAAUGGGCGAAAGCCUGACGGAGCAACGCCGCGUGAGUGAUGAAGAUCUUCGGAUCGUAAAACUCUGUUAUUAGGGAAGAAUAAACGUGUAAGUAACUGUGCACGUCUUGACGGUACCUAAUCAGAAAGCCACGGCUAACUACGUG